rnacentral:rRNA from 1 species
GAUGAACGCUAGCGGCAGGCUUAACACAAGCAAGUCGAGGGGUAUAGUUCUUCGGAACUAGAGACCGGCGCACGGGUGCGUAACGCGUAUGCAAUCUACCUUUUGCAGAGGGAUAGCCCAGAGAAAUUUGGAUUAAUACCUCAUAGUAUGUGAGAAUGGCAUCAUUUUCACAUUAAAGUCACAACGGCAAAAGAUGAGCAUGCGUCCCAUUAGCUUGUUGGUAAGGUAACGGCUUACCAAGGCAACGAUGGGUAGGGGUCCUGAGAGGGAGAUCCCCCACACUGGUACUGAGACACGGACCAGACUCCUACGGGAGGCAGCAGUGAGGAAUAUUGGACAAUGGGCGCAAGCCUGAUCCAGCCAUGCCGCGUGCAGGAUGACGGUCCUAUGGAUUGUAAACUGCUUUUGUAUAGGAAGAAACACUGGUUCGUGAACCAGCUUGACGGUACUGUAAGAAUAAGGAUCGGCUAACUCCGUGCCAGCCGCCGCGGUAACAC